rnacentral:rRNA from 1 species
GAUGAACGCUAGCGGCAGGCUUAAUACAUGCAAGUCGAACGGGAAUUGGGUAGCAAUACCUGAUGAUAGUGGCGCACGGGUGCGUAACGCGUAUGCAACCUACCUUUAACAGGGGGAUAGCCCGGAGAAAUUCGGAUUAAUACCCCAUAGUAUUAUGGAGAGGCAUCUUUUCAUGAUUAAAGUUCCGGCGGUUAAAGAUGGGCAUGCGUGCCAUUAGCUAGUUGGUGAGGUAACGGCUCACCAAGGCGACGAUGGUUAGGGGUCCUGAGAGGGUUAUCCCCCACACUGGUACUGAGACACGGACCAGACUCCUACGGGAGGCAGCAGUGAGGAAUAGUUGGUCAAUGGGCGGAAGCCUGAACCAGCCAUGCCGCGUGCAGGAUGACGGCCCUACGGGUUGUAAACUGCUUUUCCCCGGGGCGAACUAACCCCCUCGCGAGGGGGAGUGGCCGGUACCGGGGGAAUAAGGGAUCGGCUAACUCCGUG